AGAUUAAGUUAUUAAGGGCGCACGGUGGAUGCCUUGGCACUAGAAGCCGAUGAAGGACGUUACUAACGACGAUAUGCUUUGGGUAGCUGUAAGUAAGCGUUGAUCCAGAGAUUUCCGAAUGGGGGAACCCAGCACAAGUUAUGUUGUGUUAUCGACAAGUGAAUUCAUAGCUUGUCAGAAGGCAGACCCGGAGAACUGAAACAUCUUAG
rnacentral:rRNA from 1 species